rnacentral:rRNA from 1 species
CAAUAGCGUAUAUUAAAGCUGUUGCGGUUAAAGAGCUCGUAGUUGGAUUUCUGUCAAGUACAACUGGUCCGCCCUCCGGGUGAGCACAUAGUUUGGUCUUGGCAUCUUGCUGGAAAUUGUUGCUGCACUUGGCUGUGUGGCGCAGUGUCCAGCACUUUCACUUUGAGGAAAUUGGAGUGUUUCAAGCAGGCAAUGCCUUUGAACACAGUAGCAUGGAAUAAUUAGAUUGGGCUUUUGCUCCAAUUUGUCGGUUUCUGGAGCUGAGGUGAGAAUUAAUGGGGAUUGUUGGGGGCAUCCGAAUUUAGCCGUCAGAGGUGAAAUUCUUGGAUCGGCUAAAGACGGACAACUGCGAAAGCGUUUGCCCAGGAUGUUUUCAUUGA